rnacentral:tRNA from 1 species
GCCCCCAUCUUUUAGUGGUUUAGGACAUUUCUCUUUUAAGGAGGCAACGGGGAUUCAAAUUCCCAUGGGGGUA